rnacentral:lncRNA from 1 species
UUUCAUUUCUGGGUCAUCUCCUUAAAGACACUCACUCUGGACUCUCUCCUAUUUCCUUCUUCUACAGGCUGUAGCACAGACAUGACGGAAACCCAGCCUCAGUAAUGCUGAUCAGGGAAUGCACAUCAGGGAAUGGUAAUGCAGCAGAAAGGAAGCUACUUGUGUCCUUCAAUGACCUUCACCACCUGGACUGGCGGGGCCUGUAAUGUGAGAAAUACAUUUCUAUCCAUCCUGAAUGUCAGGCUGAAAUUUCUGAAUACUCAUUAUCACAUCAAGGUUAUUACAAGGACUUUUCUAUUGCUCCUUAUUUGGUAAUAGUAUUUGAGUUCUAAUGGAGAGUACUUAACUAUCAACCUGGUUGGUUUUGACUAUGAGUAUGCUGUUGUUUUUAAUGAGGCAGCAGUUUCCCAUUUCUCUUGCUAACCCUGUCAGUGAGUACUGGCUGAAUAAAGACCUUUAGUUUGUCUUAUCCCUAUUAAGCUUAACUGUAAAUCUAGAAAGAGAAUGUCUAAAAAUGGUUCAUCAAAUUUUAACCGGGAAACAAUAGUGCCAAUUUUGUAUACCAUGAUUACUGACUUCCAUUAAAACAAAGAAACACAUUUUUGUUGAUCAAAGAACAGGUCAGUAUUGGAAAGAGAAUUUUAUUGAAUGAUUUGAGAUUCUCGUUUUGUUUGCCUUCAGUAAUAGGGGAUCUUCCAUCAGUAUUUUUAUUAUCAAUGCAAUCAAUAGCUAUUAAGUGACUUAUUUGUCAAAAAUAAAGUUAAUAAAAAAGAGAGUUAACAUAAAAGAAUUAGAGUACCAGGUGAUGGUGGAAUAUAGCAUAAUAUAGACAGAAGAAAACAAAGUUAUCAUACAGGGCCACUUCCAUAACUUAACUCAAUUACACAUAGGACAGUCAUAGAUUAACUGACUUUGAAAAAUAACUGCACUGCUGAUAUUUCAGUCAAUAUCAAUAAUUCUCAACUUCAGAGAAGUUAAAUCAGUUUCCUCCCCUCGCUUUCCCAAUAACUAGUGACAGCUGUUGUAGUGGAAAGAACUCUUGGCUAAGAAUCAGGAAACUUCAUUGCUAGCCCUGGCUUUCCUAUUUACUAAGUGUGAAUUUGGGCAGGUCAUUUAACCUUUAUGCAUGGUAACUAUGAAGUUCAGAAAAAGAUUAUCUAUAAGAAGCAUUUUGGAAAAGAAAAAUUUUAAUACCAAUACACAAUUAUAUAUAUAUACAUAUAUAUAUGUACAUGUGUAUGUAAUGUAAAAAAAAUCAUUAACAAUAUAAAUCCACCCAUAAAUGUAUUUGUUUACAUAUAUAUGAAUAUGUAUAUUUAUAAUAUGUGUGAGAUUAGCUAAAUUAAUAGCUUUUGCUAUUUAGGAGUUAUUUCCUGGCUGCUUCUAAAAUGAGUCUAAGCAGUUACAGAUGAACACACAAUGCAAAGUAUGGAUGAGAAGCUUUCAAACAAAACAAAGUCCAUGCAGAUGACAUUUAAAAAGUAUUUUUUAGUGGAGGCCUCCUGCUCUUCAUUGAUGGCUGAAAGCAAAGCAGAUAAGAGGAUUUCUCUAAUAAUUACAUUAGAAUAGUUUAUUGAAGACAUAUGAACUGCCCACCACAAAUAAAAGAACAUUAACAAUGACCUACAUCUAGCUGUACAGUGUCACCAAUAUUCCACUCCUCUGUCACCCUCUCCCUGGGUUAUAAAAUUAAUAAGCCAGUCCUGCCAGUGUUUUCUGGAAAUAACAUCUGGGAGGUGUCAUGUUCCCCCAGUGGAAUAUAAGGCACACAGUAGGCUUGAACCCUAAACUCAGCAGUUCUUUUAUUGUGACAUUCUUUUGAACUUUACUCUUAGUGAUCAUCUUUACUCAUGAGAUUAAGGAAUCAUGACCUGAUAAGGAUGAGAAUAACUAAUCUUCCCUUUUCCUGAUCCCACACCACCUGACGGUUUUAAAUGAGCUAUAUUUCUUUAUAUACAGGUAAACAGUAAUUAACUUCACUGUGAGGUAAAGGAUAAUACAAACAUCUUUGAUUCAUCACUCAAAAAAUACCAUUCUAUUUGAAAACAUCCAUCAAUUCCCUUUGGUCUUUAUUUUAAAACAACCAGAAAUAAAGCAUUGUAUUUUACAGCCUUAGUCCUUAACACAAACAUUAAAUAUAUUUGACUGUAUUUUUAUUGGACAGAUUAGUAUUGACAGUCAUCUAUUUCAAACUGAAACUCUCAGAGUAAAACCACUAGAUUAACACUGGGACUAGCAAAGGAUGGCACUGGAGAUUCUCCCCCAUGCCCUCAUCUUUUCAGAAAUGAUAACAUAUAACAAGGAUUAGAAAUCUCUGCACUGAUGGCAUGGACACAAAAAAGCCAGAACAAAUCAUUGAACAUCAUUUUCAUACUUUGUUCUACUGGCAUGCUUGGGCUCUUCACUUAACCAAAGCAUCACUCCAGAAGGGUCUCUAGGCAUUUAAAAACACUCACGACUGAGACCCAGGCCUUUCAGAAGUUGUAGUUUCUUCUCCAGCCUAUUAUUUCUAGUUUCUAAGACUUACAACAAAACAGUUCCUAAAAAAGAAUUCUGCAACAAUACAUUCUGAGUUUGCCACCUUAGAAUCAAACUAUAACAUGCCUCCCUUCCGCAGGAGGCUUCCAAAUGCAGUCUCAUUUAGUAUCACAGCGUACCUGCCAAAUAGGCUGCAGAGAGCACCAGCCCCAUCUAAGAAAUGGAGUGUCAUUCCAGCCUCUCUCUCUGCAGAAAGAACGAGGGGAAGCAGCAACAGCCACAUACUCUACUUGUUUCUUGAAUAUGCAUUCAUGAGCUCACAUGUGGACUCCUUUAGCGGGUUCCAAGUAAACAAAAAGAAUACAUUGGGAAUACUGGUCCUUGUGAUUCAAAUUUAACCAGUCUUGCAGAGCCACUGCAAAUGUAUGCAAGUAAACUUAGUCUAGUUGAUCCUGGACUCACCGCACUACUCUCCUCUUGUCCUCCUGAAGUUGGAAAGAGCUGCCCAGAUUUAGGUGUCGGAUAGAACAGAGACAGUGGAGAGAGAGGAGCCCCAAACCCUUAGUCUUUAUAUGCUUCCUCUCUCUCUGUUCAAACAUCCUCUUCACUCUGAUUGGCUUCUGGUUCUCUCACUGCCCUAGCCUUUGAAGUGUUCUCCCCUUAGCAGCACUCAAGGUUAAUGUUUCCAGCCUCCCCAAAGCAUCUACGCAUGUCCUAGGCAUGCAUGUGUAUUUCCAGUGACCCAAGGUGACGGGGGAAGUAGCUUCUUUUAACUCCUUUUCCUGGAGCUUGUCUUGGCUUUUCUAAAAGGCUAAGGGAGGUUAUCUAUUCUUUCCCCCCACAAGUUAUAAACUACCACACUGUUCUGUUUUAGAAAGAUGAUUGGCAUGGCUGGCAUAUCGCUACCAGAAAGAAAAUUCAGGGUCUUGUAUUUGAACCCCUACCUCAUCUUCUAAAUUGAGCACCUCUAAAAAAUUAUGAACCCAUUUUUGCCUUUCUUUUUUCCACCUUCUUGCUAUGCAGAUUAGCAAUAUUUUCCUUUCCAAAUCUGAUUUUUCUUCUUUACAAAACUUUCUUUAUAGUUUCUUCUGACACAGUUGAAGCUAUGGGUUAUUUUUCUAAAAACAAAAAUAAGAAAAUAUAUUUAUUCCUAGCUUCUCACACCACGUUGUAGAAUGAACACAUGUGAUUUCCAGAGAGCAAUAACUGGAACAAUUUUGUUUGUCAUUCCAUCUUCAUUUCUUGACUGCAAAGAUGAAUAUUCAGGUCAAAUUCUGUUGUAAUGAGACAAGGGAGCUUCCAAGUCCUUUUCUUGGGGUGAAAUUUUAUUAUACUCAUUACUGAGUGAAAGCAAAAGAGAAGCUUAGGAAUCAUUCAGCUAUGCAUUGCCUUUACUCUUAUAAUGGUAUUUGCUGAAAUGGCAGUUAUCCAAUAUACCAUUUUUGAAUUUCAUCGUGACCAUUUCUGAUAACCAGAAUGUGACAGCACAAUUACCUACAUGUAAUUGAAUUUUACAGCACUGGUCUACACAGUGACUGCAAAAACAUUUUUUAAAAAUCAUGGAUAAUUGAAUUUAACUAAUAUCUGCCAAAUAGAUAAAUAUCAGCUUUCCCCAAAGCCUUUAUUUCAGUGCAAUUCAAUUAGUAAUGAGAUUUAACAUUUCUAACAAUACAUUUAUAAAAUACUAAAUUUAAUCUCUUGAAAUCUUAAAACAAACCAGCGCAUCUCUCUCCCAAUUACUGUAGAUGGAGAUGCACUGAAUGUCCUCUCAGAAUUCUCAAACGUUGAGUUAUUUUUGAUUCAGAACAUUUCCACUGGUUGCCCUUGAGUAGACAUGCCAUAUUAUCACAUUACCUUUGGAAUCUUUUUAGCCUGUGACCGACAUUCUCAGCAAGGCAACUAGAUAUGAACACCUUCUCCAUCGACUUUUUAAAAAAUGACAUCUCCUUUGAGUGGUCACUUUGCAAGGUCUCAGUCCACUGACUUGAGCACCUGUGUUACAUAUUCCAAUGAACCACAGGAAUUACUUUUUGCUCAACUUAGAAGUAACCAGAAAUUUAUUAAUAUCUCCCCAUAUAUUUGAGCUGUGAAAUGUACAAUAUUGUCCUAGAGAAUUACAUUCCCCACUCUCUCCUGUGGUUUCAUUCUUCUCAUUCUGCAUCCAAUUAUACAUAUACAAGUUUGCCUUAUGCAACUUUGCUUUUGCAAAAAGACCUACAUUAGUACCUGUUUUUUCUAACAGAAAGAAAUUCAUAUGUGAGUUUUUACUUUUAUGAAGAAAGGUACUUAAUUGUUUCUUCACUUUAUGUCAUUUCAGCCUAUUAAAAAUUUCAAAGGAAUGGUCUAUUUCCAGGUAGUGAGAGAAAUGUGUGUUUGUGUGCUCAUACAUAUAUAGUAAAAGAAAGGUAAGUUCUAGGUCAAGGCCCAUCUAACUCACAGAUUUCAGCUUUGAUAAAAGAAAAAUUUUCGAAGAUUUUAGAAAGGUACAAAAUUAUACUUAUAAAAUAAAUAAGUCAUAAAGAUGUAAUCUAUAGCAUAUUAACUAUAGUUAAUAAUCCUGUAUUGCGUAUUGGAAAGUUGCUAAAAGAGUGUAUCUUAAGAGUUCUUAUGGCAAGGAAGACAAUCUUUGUAACUAUGCAUGGGAAAUAACUGGUCACAUUGCAAGAUUAGAUAUUAGAUGGGGACAGAGGUUGUGAGAGAUAGCCUUAUUGAGGUGAUCAUUUCUCCAUAUAUACAAGUACAUAAUCAUCAUGUUGUAUACCUGAAAUGAAUAUAACGUCAUAUGUUAUACAUACCUCAAUAAAAACAGUUUUUAAAAAAGAGAAGACUUUCAUUAAGCAAACUCUUAAUAUUGCUCUCUGUGGAUACAGGCCAGGGUAUGCUAUCUUUCCUAACAAUCUUUUCACAUAGUCAGUCUGAAAAAAAAAAAUCUGUUCAGUCAUUGUCUCCUGGCCUUCAGUUCCCCAUUACAGGUACCCAAUCCAGUUUUCAGGGCUGUGUUUAGCUAGCAAAGACUUCAAAGGUUUCGGUCUACUCCCAAGAUAUCUUUGUUUUAAUUAAGAAUCAAUCUUGGUGAAUUUCGCCAAACACCCUUGAUGGGGUAAAGGGAAUUGGGCUGGAAAGACUGCCAGUGCUCUGAAAGAAAAGGAGCAAAAAAGAAAAGUGGCAAAUGCCUAACUUCCAAUUUUAAGGAGCCAAAUUGUACCAACUAAAAAUAAUUGUGUUCUGAUACAUUGUUUCUAAUCUUUACCCUGCAGAAUGGGCAUUAUCAUGAGGCCCAUGUUUAAGACUAAGGAAGCUGAAGCUCCCAGUUGUUAUAUGAUUUGCCCAGGAUCAGAGAGCAAUGAAGUGGCAGAGCCAGGACUCACACCAGGUUUCUGGACACCCACGCCCACCCACCUGUGCCUGCACGUCUUUACUAGACUCUGUCAGAAGGCUUUGAUGAAGAUAAGUGAGUGCUCAAAAUCUCCAAGUAAUAGCUCCAAGAAACAAAGAAUUUGUACAGGAACAGAGCAUGGACCAGAAAAUACAUAUGGAGAACACAAAAAUGCUCCUCCCUUCAUCUUUUAAAAAAACCCAAGGAAAGUAUCGGAGUCAAGUAGAAUAAAUAUGGACUGAGAAGUCAAAAGGCACUGGGUCAUAUUCAGUUUCUGCCAGUUAUCAUACUGGCUCUUACCUUGGGUAAAAUUACUCACUUCUUUGGUGCCAAGUCCUCUCAUAUAAAAAAUGAAUAUAACAGGACUACUCUGAGGAUUAAAUGAAAUAACUUCUAAGAAAGUCUCAAGAUGACUGCCCUGCUCAUAAUGUGAUUUCAAUAAAUGGUCCUUUCUAAUCCUUU